UUAGCCUACGGGACGCAGCAGUGAGGAAUAUUGGUCAAUGGGCGAGAGCCUGAACCAGCCAAGUCGCGUGAAGGAUGACGGCCCUAUGGGUUGUAAACUUCUUUUGUCAGGGAGCAAUUGGGUCCACGCGUGGGCUUAGCGAGAGUACCUGAAGAAAAAGCAUCGGCUAACUCCGUGCCAGCAACCGCGGUAAUACGGAGGAUGCGAGCGUUAUCCGGAUUUAUUGGGUUUAAAGGGUGCGUAGGCGGAAUAUCAAGUCAGUGGUAAAAAUUAGGGGCUCAACCCCGCCGGGCCGUUGAAACAGU
rnacentral:rRNA from 1 species